rnacentral:rRNA from 1 species
UACGUAGGGUGCGAGCGUUAAUCGGAAUUACUGGGCGUAAAGCGUGCGCAGGCGGUUUUGUAAGGCAGAUGUGAAAUCCCCGGGCUUAACCUGGGAAUGGCAUUUGGGACUGCAAGGCUUGAGUGCGGCAGAGGAGACUGGAAUUCCUGGUGUAGCAGUGAAAUGCGUAGAUAUCAGGAGGAAUACCGAUGGCGAAGGCAGGUCUCUGGGCUGACACUGACGCUCAUGCACGAAAGCGUGGGGAGCAAACAGG